rnacentral:rRNA from 1 species
UACGGGGGGAGCAAGCGUUGUUCGGAUUUACUGGGCGUAAAGGGCGCGUAGGCGGCCACCGCAAGUCACUUGUGAAAUCCCCGGGCUCAACCUGGGAACUGCAUUUGUGACUGCAUGGCUGGAGUGCGGCAGAGGGGGAUGGAAUUCCGCGUGUAGCAGUGAAAUGCGUAGAUAUGCGGAGGAACACCGAUGGCGAAGGCAAUCCCCUGGGCCUGCACUGACGCUCAUGCACGAAAGCGUGGGGAGCAAACAGG